rnacentral:rRNA from 1 species
AGGGUUUGAUCCUGGCUCAGAUUGAACGCUGGCGGCAUGCUUUACACAUGCAAGUCGAACGGCAGCACGGGNGGNNCAACCCUGGUGGCGAGUGGCGAACGGGUGAGUAACGCAUCGGAACAUAUCUUAAAGUGGGGAAUAACGCAUCGAAAGGUGUGCUAAUACUCCAUAUACUCUANGGAGGAAAGCGGGGGAUCGAAAGACCUCGUGCUUUAAGAGUGGCCGAUGUCUGAUUAGCUAGUUGGUAAGGUAAAGCUUAACCAAGGCGACGAUCAGUAGCUGGUCUGAGAGGACGAUCAGCNACACUGG